UACGUAGGCAGCGAGCGUUGUUCGGAGUUACUGGGCGUAAAGGGUGUGUAGGCGGUUGUUUAAGUUUGGUGUGAAAUCUCCCGGCUCAACUGGGAGGGUGCGCCGAAUACUGAAUGACUAGAGUGCGGGAGAGGAAAGUGGAAUUCCUGGUGUAGCGGUGAAAUGCGUAGAUAUCCGGAGGAACACCGAUGGCGAAGGCAAUCCCCUGGGCCUGCACUGACGCUCAUGCACGAAAGCGUGGGGAGCAAACAGG
rnacentral:rRNA from 1 species